rnacentral:ncRNA from 1 species
UAAAGUCUUCAGGGCAGGGUGUAAUUCCCGACCGGCGGUAAAGUCCGCGAGCCAUAAUGGCUGAUUUGGUGUGAUUCCAAAACCGACAGUAGAGUCUGGAUGGAAGAAGAUAGAU